AAACUUCAUGCCUGUCAGCAUCGGCAGAAAUAAGGAAAAGUGAUAAAUGAGGAAGCACGCGGGCCAACGACCUAUGCUGGGGAUAAUAAGCCACGAGCAUACCAUCCCUACUUGGUCCAUUGUGAACGAACAAUUUGCGCUCAGCUGGGGAUUUUUUUUCUCUUUUUUUUUUGCUUUUCUUGAACCCCGAAAACCUUUUAAUCUUCAUUUCCAUCUCCGCCCGACGGAAACCCUUCCUCCAAUAUCGCACUACUGGGGAAUGUUGUUAACUCAAAAUCACGAUGCCGAACUCCUCAGAGUAACAUCUUCACCAUCCGGCGAAACCAACUCUCAAAGGGUAACCA
rnacentral:lncRNA from 1 species